rnacentral:rRNA from 1 species
AGCGAACGCUGGCGGCAGGCCUAACACAUGCAAGUCGAACGAACUCUUCGGAGUUAGUGGCGGACGGGUGAGUAACACGUGGGAACGUGCCCUUUGGUUCGGCAUAACUCAGGGAAACUUGUGCUAAUACCGAAUGUGCCCUUCGGGGGAAAGAUUUAUCGCCAUUAGAGCGACCCGCGUCUGAUUAGCUAGUUGGUGAGGUAACGGCUCACCACGGCGACGAUCAGUAGCUGGUCUGAGAGGAUGACUAGCCACACUGGGACUGAGACACGGCCCGGACUCCUACGGGAGGCAGCAGUGGGGAAUCGUGCGCAAUGGGCGAAAGCCUGACGCAGCCAGGCCGCGUGAAUGAUGAAGGUCUUAGGAUUCUAAAAUUCUUUCACCGGGGACGAUAAUGACGGUACCCGGAGAAGAAGCCCCGGCUAACUUCGUG